GUAGGUGGCAAGCGUUGUCCGGGAAUUAUUGGGGCGUAAAGCGCGCGCAGGCGGUUCUUUAAGUCUGAUGUGAAAGCCCACGGGCUCAACCGUGGAGGGUCAUUGGAAACUGGAGAACUUGAGUACAGAAGAGGAAAGCGGAAUUCCACGUGUAGCGGUGAAAUGCGUAGAGAUGUGGAGGAACACCAGUGGCGAAGGCGGCUUUCUGGUCUGUAACUGACGCUGAGGCGCGAAAGCGUGGGGAGCAAACAGGAUUAGAUACCCUGGUAGUCCACGCCGAAAACGAUGAGUGCUAAGUGUUAGGGGGUUUCCGCCCCUUAGUGCUGCAGCUAACGCAUUAAGCACUCCGCCUGGGGAGUACGGCCGCAAAGGCUGA
rnacentral:rRNA from 1 species